UACAGAGGGUGCGAGCGUUGUUCGGAAUUAUUGGGCGUAAAGCGCUUGUAGGCGGCACGUCAAGUCGCGUGUGAGAUCCCCAGGCUUAACCUGGGAAGUGCGCGCGAAACUGACGAGCUUGAGUGCCGGAGAGGGUCGCGGAAUUCCCGGUGUAGAGGUGAAAUUCGUAGAUAUCGGGAGGAACACCAGUGGCGAAGGCGGCGACCUGGACGGACACUGACGCUGAGACGCGAAAGCGUGGGGAGCAAACAGG
rnacentral:rRNA from 1 species